CCUACGGGUGGCAGCAGUGAGGAAUAUUGGUCAAUGGGCUUACGCCUGAACCAGCCAAGUCGCGUGAGGGAAGACUGCCCUAUGGGUUGUAAACCUCUUUUGUCAGGGAGCAACGCCGGCUACGUGUAGCCGGACUUAGAGUACCUGCAGACAAAGCAUCGGCUAACUCCGUGCCAGCCGCCGCGGUAAUACGGAGGAUGCGAGCGUUAUCCGGAUUUAUUGGGUUUAAAGGGUGCGUAGGCGGAAUGCCAAGUCAGCGGUAAAAUCGCGGGGCUCAACCUCGCUCCGCCGUUGAAACUGGCGUGCUGGAGUGGGCGAGAAGUAUGCGGAAUGCGUGGUGUAGCGGUGAAAUGCAUAGAUAUCACGCAGAACUCCGAUUGCGAAGGCAGCAUACCGGCGCCCAACUGACGCUGAAGCACGAAAGCGUGGGUAUCGAACAGGAUUAGAUACCCUGGUAGUC
rnacentral:rRNA from 1 species